GCGGCUUUAGCUCACUUGGGAGAGCGCCAGACUGAAGUUAACUUCCGUUACUGUUGCAGCUACUGAAAAUAAAAGUACUGUACUAUCUGGAGGCACUGUGUUCGAUCCACAGAAGCCGCA